rnacentral:rRNA from 3 species
GGGGACCUGCGGAAGGAUCAUUA